rnacentral:piRNA from 1 species
UAGACAUGCAAGUGCUCUCGGAAGAACAAU